rnacentral:rRNA from 1 species
UAGGGAAUAUUAGUAAUGGGCGUAAGCCUGAACUAGCAACGCCGCGUGUGCGAAGAAGGCCUUCGGGUUGUAAAGCACUUUUUGAGAGGAUGAGGAAGGACGGUACUCUCAGAAUAAGUCUCGGCUAACUACGUGCCAGCAGCCGCGGUAACACGUAGGAGGCGAACGUUAUCCGGAUUUACUGGGCGUAAAGCGCGUGUAGGUGGUUUGGUAAGUAGGGCGUGAAAGCUCCUGGCUCAACCGGGAGAGGCCGUUCUAAACUGCCGAACUAGAGGAUGGUAGAGGGAGGUGGAAUUCCGGGUGUAGCGGUGGAAUGCGCAGAUAUCCGGAGGAACGCCAGUGGCGAAAGCGGCCUCCUGGACCAUUCCUGACACUCAGACGCGAAAGCUAGGGUAGCAAACGG